rnacentral:rRNA from 1 species
GACGUAGGGCGCGAGCGUUGUCCGGAUUUAUUGGGCGUAAAGAGCUCGUAGGCGGCUUGUUGCGUCGUCCGUGAAAACCUGUGGCUUAACUACAGGCUUGCGGUCGAUACGGGCGGGCUGGAGUUCGGCAGGGGAGACUGGAAUUCCUGGUGUAGCGGUGAAAUGCGCAGAUAUCAGGAGGAACACCGAUGGCGAAGGCAGAUCUCUGGGCCGUAACUGACGCUGAGGAGCGAAAGCGUGGGGAGCGAACAGG